AAAGUGCGAUAUUUAGUGCGAUUUGCAUGAAUCUGUGAGUCAUCUAGUAUUUGAACGCAACUUGCACCACGUGUUAGUGGUAUGUCUGUUUGAGUGUUUAUUAUAAAUUGUGAGCAGUAAUAUGCUCGAUUUGGCUGUUGGUAAAUGCCAUUGGCUUGAAUAUAGUAAGAAAAAUGUAGGGGUUGUACCUUUGUGAGCUAGAGACUAUAUGGUCUUGUCACAAGGGGAGUGCCCCUAUCUAUAUCAUAAUCUCUAACCUCAAAUCAGUCAAGACUACCCGCUGAACUUAA
rnacentral:misc_RNA from 1 species